GCGUAGUCGAUGGGAACCACGUGAAUAUUCGUGGGCCAGUGGAUGGUGACGAAUCUCGUAUGUUGUCUGACCUUAUUGGAUUGGUCGGGCCUCGACGGGGGUCCCGGAAANUGAAGGGGUCCCAGGAAAUAGCCUCCGCGUAAGACCGUACCCGAAACCGACACAGGUGGACUGGUAGAGUAUACCAAGGCGCUUGAGAGAACUAUGUUGAAGGAACUCGGCAAUUUACCUCCGUAACUUCGGGAUAAGGGGGCCCUCUAUGUACGCAAGUGCAUAGGGGGGGCACAGACCAGGGGGUGGCAACUGUUUAGCAAAAACACAGGGCUCUGCGAAAUCGCAAGAUGACGUAUAGGGUCUGACGCCUGCCCGGUGCCGGAAGGUUAAGAGGAGGAGUGCAAGCUCUGAAUUGAAGCC
rnacentral:misc_RNA from 1 species